GCAAGCGUUGUUCGGAAUUACUGGGCGUAAAGGGCUCGUAGGUGGCCAACUCAGUCAGACGUGAAAUCCCCAGGCUCAACUUGGGAACUGCGUCUGAUACUGGAUGGCUUGAAUUCGGGAGAGGGAUGCAGAAUUCCAGGUGUAGCGGUGAAAUGCGUAGAUAUCUGGAGGAAUACCGGUGGCGAAGGCGGGUAGCUGGGCCAACACUGACGCUAAAGUGCGAAAGCUAGGGGAGCAAACGGG
rnacentral:rRNA from 1 species